GGUCCUUCUCGGCCUUUUGGCUAAGAUCAAGUGUAGUAUCUGUUCUUAGCAGUUUAAUGUCUGAUACGUCCUCUAUCCGAGGACGAUAUAUUAAAUGGAUGUUUGGAACUAGGAGUUGAAAUAGGAGCUUGAUCCGUCCACUCCACGCAUCGACCUGGUAUUGCAGUUUUGAACCCAAAGAAAAACAUAUAUA